UCCCUCUUAGCUCAGUGGUAGAGCGCUUCACUAGUAUUGUUUCGAGUUCUCUUAUGUAAAUGACGCUAUGAAGAGGUCAGUCGUUCAAGUCGGCUAGAGGGAA